UCACAGGCUGAGAUGCUUUUAUUGGCGAGUACAGAUAUCCCUAACUUAUAUAACAAGGAAAAACAAUCCAAUCAAUUUUAUGAGCUUGGAAUAUAUUUUAUACUAAAACUAGGUGUUGUGACUGUCUACAAAGAAACCAGAGUUAGCAAAUUAUUAGCAUGAAGAUAGUCAGCAAGGAGCGGAAUACAAAACAAACUCACAAACUCAAAAGCAUUUCAGUUAUAGAAAAUACAAUUGAAGAAGCUCUGUCCUUAAUGGAGACAGCAAUGUUCCACUCUGAACGAAAUGCCAAAAACAAGUACCUGAAAGCUAAAGACAGUGAACAAAAGCAGGCAAGUUUUGGUGGGAAGAUGAAACUUGGAAGAAGGUGCCAUUAAGAGGAGAGAUGGAGUUUCACCAUGUUGACCAGGAUAGUCUCGAUAUCUUGACUUCGCGAUCCACCC